GACCCUGUUUUUCUUUUCUUUUUCUUUUUUUUGUCUCCGAGAGCUAUGAGCAGAGUUGCCACUUGCCAGAGCACCCCUCACCGCCAAUCCGCCAUGGCUGGUAGCAGAGCGUGCUUGCGCGGGGUUGCACGCGCUGGUGUCCCUCCCCAGGAAGCUUACGUCCCGUGGCGGCGGAAGCGUCCGGGCGGCCGGCAGAUCACCUCCGCGAGCUUUGUGAGGGAGUUCCUUGGCAUCUGCUCCUGAAACAAUCAGGGUCAAUGAGCCAUCCCUGCACCAAGUGGACCACUGUUGGGAUCAAGCUUCAGGGACACGUCCUUAAACAUCUUGCGGCUGAGGGUGUUGUAAACUGCUCUUGAGUACUGCCGGGAUGCAUUCCUCCAGUCCAUUCCACCCUUCAUCAUCUGCUCAAACUCCUCGUAGCUUAUCUUGCCAUCCUGUGGGCAGAUAUUUUAGUUUACUACUGCAAUGAACUUGCUUAAUACUUGUGAUCUGAUAUAAAUUGUUGGUUCUUGUGAAAGCAGUGAUCUAACCUUGUCUUUGUCGACGUCCAGGAUAAUGUCAUCGAUCACCUUCUGGUCGCCUCUUGGAGAGAUCGCCUCCUUCAACUCUUCGAUUUCAAUGUAACUGCUCCCAUUCUUGUCAAAGUAGCUGAACACCUUGGGAAGGUGAUCCUCGCUACGGAUUUUCUUCAGGUGAAUGGAGACGGUCACAAACUCCUUGCAGUCCAGGGUCCCAUUGCCGUCUAUGUCGGCCUAGAGAAUGCAAAGACAGGAGCAUCUCAGCAGUCAUUCAAACAGUUCACCAAGUUAUAUCCUCCUAGAUUGGUGCACUUGAUGGACCGUUUGAUGGUCUGAUGUGAUCAAACAUGUAUUCGAUGGAGCAAUGCUACAACAUGCAAACUGCGGAAAAUGAGAUGGCGCAACAAAUUUAUAGGUGAAGGGGAUCUCACAGCUUCCAUGAGCAUAUCCACAUCGGUGUCAUGGACAUUGUGCCCUAUCAUUUGCAGUCCCUUUCUGAGUUCUUCAACUGUCAAGUGCCCAUCCUUGUUGGUGUCCAACAUGUGGAACAACUCCCUGAUUGCAUCGAGUUCUUCAGUUGUGAAUUGCUUCAGCCUGGAUCUCACUGCUUCUCCAAGAGGGAUGUUGGGAGCUGCGCUGGCAUUCUGUAUCCAAGGAUGUUCUUUGUUGUUGAAGAGCAGAAAUGAUAGUUAGCUUCAGCCCAACUAUUUUGUGGAGAGGAAAACCGUCAGGAUAACUAACCUAGAACCUGCUGAGCCGUCAACCGAGCGUAGGGACUUGGAUCAAGCAUCUUCCUGACAAGGUCUUUUGCAUUCUCGGACACCUUUGGCCAAGGCUCCCUCUCGAAGUCGAUGUUCGACUGGAUGAUUGCCCGCGCAAUCCCUUCAUCAGUCUCUGCAAAUGUUCACCAUAAAUCUCGAUGAAUUGAUGCACAUGAAAAAAACUCUUGAGUUCCUGAACUGAGACACAUGAACAUACCAGCCCAGAAAGGAGGGACACCACACAGCAAGAUGUACAGUAUGACUCCUGCACUCCAUAUGUCUAUUUCUUGCCCAUAAUUCCUCUUCAGGACUUCAGGAGCCAUGUAGUAGGGGGAUCCAACGAUCUCGUUGAACCUUUCACCUGAUUAAAACGAAGCGCACAAUAUGAAAUUUGUUUCUAUUUUUUGCAUUGUACAAAUAAUUGGAAGAGUUGUGGUUUUGUGCAGGGCUUUCUACCUGGUUUGAAGCACACAGAGAGACCGAAGUCGAUGGCCUUGAGAGGGGAGUUCUCGGAUGCAUUGGUGUACAGGAAGUUCUCAGGCUUGAGGUCCCGGUGCAUGACCCCGUGUUUGUGGCAAUGCUGCAAAGAGAUUUGGAAGAUGGUAACAUGCAUUCAUACCUUGUUAAUGCACAUUGACGCAUACGAGAGGGAAUGCCAAAUGCAUGCUGACACUACAAACUUCCCUUGCCUAUAUCAUGAACAUUUUUGUUUUGAGCCAACCAAACCCAACUACAGUUUUUUUUUUUUUUUUGCAUCAUGUAUUUGCAUUAUAAGCGAUGCGUACCUCAGCAACAAAGUUUGAGCCUAAUAAUUUGAAAGAAAAAAAAAGUUGUGUACCUCAGCAACAUUAAAUUGUUUCGUUUCCUAUGCAUACAUUCUGACAAUGCAAAUAAAUCCGUUUUGGAGACAUUUGUCAUCUAUAUAACUAUUCAAUGGGCAAGCUUCUAGGUCUGGCCACGCAUUUCUUUUCCUGUG